rnacentral:rRNA from 1 species
AUGCAGUCGAACGAUGAAGCUCCAGCUUGCUGGAGUGGAUUAGUGGCGAACGGGUGAGUAACACGUGAGCAACCUGCCCCUGACUCUGGGAUAAGCGCUGGAAACGGCGUCUAAUACUGGAUAUGCACUGUAGCCGCAUGGUUUGCAGUGGGAAAGAUUUAUCGGUUGGGGAUGGGCUCGCGGCCUAUCAGCUUGUUGGUGAGGUAAUGGCUCACCAAGGCGUCGACGGGUAGCCGGCCUGAGAGGGUGACCGGCCACACUGGGACUGAGACACGGCCCAGACUCCUACGGGAGGCAGCAGUGGGGAAUAUUGCACAAUGGGCGCAAGCCUGAUGCAGCAACGCCGCGUGAGGGAUGACGGCCUUCGGGUUGUAAACCUCUUUUAGCAGGGAAGAAGCCUUCGGGUGACGGUACCUGCAGAAAAAGCGCCGGCUAACUACGUGCCAGCAGCCGCGGUAAUACGUAGGGCGCAAGCGUUAUCCGGAAUUAUUGGGCGUAAAGAGCUCGUAGGCGGUUUGUCACGUCUGCUGUGAAAUCUGGAGGCUCAACCUCCAGCCUGCAGUGGGUACGGGCAGACUAGAGUGCGGUAGGGGAGAUUGGAAUUCCUGGUGUAGCGGUGGAAUGCGCAGAUAUCAGGAGGAACACCGAUGGCGAAGGCAGAUCUCUGGGCCGUUACUGACGCUGAGGAGCGAAAGGGUGGGGAGCAAACAGGCUUAGAUACCCUGGUAGUCCACCCCGUAAACGUUGGGAACUAGUUGUGGGGGCCUUUCCACGGUCUCUGUGACGCAGCUAACGCAUUAAGUUCCCCGCCUGGGGAGUACGGCCGCAAGGCUAAAACUCAAAGGAAUUGACGGGGACCCGCACAAGCGGCGGAGCAUGCGGAUUAAUUCGAUGCAACGCGAAGAACCUUACCAAGGCUUGACAUAUUCGAGAACACUGCAGAAUGUAGGACUCUUUGGACACUCGUAUACAGGUGGUGCAUGGUUGUCGUCAGCUCGUGUCGUGAGAUGUUGGGUUAAGUCCCGCAA